rnacentral:ncRNA from 1 species
CUGUCAUAAGGGCAAAUCUAUCGAAAGGUAGAGACGCAAAGCCUCAGAUCUAAGGCGUGUUAUCAUGCUAGGAUGGCUGGGUUACCGUA